rnacentral:snRNA from 1 species
GGCCUGAUGGGUUAACAGCAAGA